rnacentral:tRNA from 1 species
GGCCUAAUGGCCCAAUGGCAAGGCGCUUGACUACGAUCACUUAGUAAUCAAGAGAUUCCAGGUUGUAAGUAUUCACUCAAACGCGCCCAGCGUUCGAGUUCUAACGAGUUUUCAGCGACCCCUGGUUAGGUCA